rnacentral:rRNA from 1 species
GCCUAUGGCCAUACCAGUCUGAAAGUGCCUGAUCUCGUCAGAUCUCAGAAGUCAUGCAGACUUGGGCCUGCUUAGUAAUUGUAUGGAAGUCCAACUAGGAACCUCAGGUGCCGUAAGCU